rnacentral:rRNA from 1 species
GAUGAACGCUGGCGGCGUGCCUAAUACAUGCAAGUCGAGCGAACAGACGAUGAUCUUUCUCCUCUGACUUUAUCGGCUGACGUGUUUUUAACACGUGUAUAACCUACCUAUUUUUCUUGUAUAACUUCGUGAAACCGUUUCUUAUACCGUAUAAUAUAUUUAACCUCUUUGUUCUUUAUUUCAAUUCGUUUUUUCUUUCUCUUUUAGAUUUUUCCGCGCCGCAUUAGCUAGUUGGUAAGGUAACGGCUUACCAAGGCAACGAUGCGUAGCCGACCUGAGAGGGGGAUCGGCCAAACGGGAACUGAGACACGGACAAGACGCCUACGGGAGGCAGCAGUAGGGAAGAGUACGCAAUGGGGGAAAGAAGGACGGAGCAAGGCCGCGUGAGUGAUGAAGGACUUAGGAUCGUAAAAAGAUGUUAUGAGGGAAGAAAAAAUGUGGAAGAAAAUAUGAACGGAAUGACGGUAACGAAAAAGAAAGCAACGGCUAACUACGUG